rnacentral:rRNA from 1 species
AGCGAACGCUGGCGGCAGGCCUAACACAUGCAAGUCGAACGAAGUCUUCGGACUUAGUGGCGGACGGGUGAGUAACACGUGGGAACGUGCCUUUAGGUCCGGAAUAACGCAGGGAAACUUGUGCUAAUACCGAAUGUGGCCUUCGGGGGCAAGAUUUAUCGCCUUUGGAGCGGCCCGCGUCUGAUUAGCUAGUUGGUGAGGUAAAGGCUCACCAAGGCGACGAUCAGUAGCUGGUCUGAGAGGAUGAUCAGCCACAUUGGGACUGAGACACGGCCCAAACUCCUACGGGAGGCAGCAGUGGGGAAUCUUGCGCAAUGGGCGAAAGCCUGACGCAGCCAUGCCGCGUGAAUGAUGAAGGUCUUAGGAUUGUAAAAUUCUUUCCCCGGGGACGAUAAUGACGGUGCCCGGAGAAGAAGCCCCGGCUAACUUCGUGCCAGCAGCCGCGGUAA